UACGGGAGGCAGCAGUGGGGAAUAUUGCACAAUGGGCGCAAGCCUGAUGCAGCCAUGCCGCGUGUAUGAAGAAGGCCUUCGGGUUGUAAAGUACUUUCAGUCGUGAGGAAGGUGUUAAGGUUAAUAACCUUAGCAAUUGACGUUAGCGACAGAAGAAGCACCGGCUAACUCCGUGCCAGCAGCCGCGGUAAUACGGAGGGUGCGAGCAUUAAUCGGAAUUACUGGGCGUAAAGGGCACGCAGGCGGUUAAUUAAGUUGGAUGUGAAAUCCCCGGGCUUAACCUGGGAAUGGCAUUCAAGACUGGUUAGCUAGAGUCUUGUAGAGGGGGUAGAAUUCCAUGUGUAGCGGUGAAAUGCGUAGAGAUGUGGAGGAAUACCGGGUGGCGAAGGCGGCCCCUGGGACAAGACUGACGCUCAUGUGCGAAAGCGUGGGGAGCAAACAGGGAUUAGAUACC
rnacentral:rRNA from 1 species